GCGCGGGGACCCCGCCUCUGCUCCACGCGGGACCCCCGGUCGCGGGACCGCGACGCCGAAGCUCAGGCGGCCGCGCCAGCGAAAGACCAAUCAGACCUGUCCCGAAAGGCAAUUUGUGAGCGAACUGUUUGAAACUCAAAAGUAUCAACUGCACAGUCCAAAUCCUUUAACUCGGCGCGGCCGAGGGACGGGACGCGUGAGCCGGGGCUGCCCGACCCUGCGGUGCGCUGGCGGUCCCGGCCUGGGAAGAGGAAACCAGGCUUUGCUCACAGCCAGCGGGGUCUGGGGCCUCGCCUCUUUGAGCCCCAGCUUCCCCAUCUGUGUGACAUGAGCUGUGAAUGAGGAGGAAGCCGACCCUGUGGGCCUCAAAGUGUUGCGGCAGUGGGAACGUAGGCAUCUGAAGUUGCCACAGAUCAUCCAGCUCUGGGCUUCACAUUCCCAGGGUCAAUAAACAUCCAAUCUGUUUA